GCGUGAUGGCCGAGUGGUUAAGGCGUUUGACUCGAAAUCAAAUGUACUCAGGUCAGGGCAGCGCAAGUUCGAAUCCUGCUCUCAGCG